GGGGAAUAUUGGACAAUGGGCGAAAGCCUGAUCCAGCAAUGCCGCGUGGAUGAAGAAGGUCUUCGGAUUGUAAAGUCCUUUUGGCGGGGACGAUGAUGACGGUACCCGCAGAAUAAGCUCCGGCUAACUUCGUGCCAGCAGCCGCGGUAAUACGAAGGGGGCUAGCGUUGCUCGGAAUGACUGGGCGUAAAGGGCGCGUAGGCGGACGGCACAGUCAGGCGUGAAAUUCCUGGGCUCAACCUGGGGACUGCGUCUGAGACGUGUUGUCUUGAGUAUGGAAGAGGGUUGUGGAAUUUCCAGUGUAGAGGUGAAAUUCGUAGAUAUUGGAAAGAACACCGGUGGCGAAGGCGGCAACCUGGUCCAUUACUGACGCUGAGGCGCGAAAGCGUGGGGAGCAAACAGGAUUAGAUACCCUGGUAGUCCACGCUGUAAACGAUGUGUGCUGGAUGUUGGGGUGCUUAGCACUUCAGUGUCGUAGCUAACGCGGUAAGCACACCGCCUGGGGAGUACGGCCGCAAGGUUGAAACUCAAA
rnacentral:rRNA from 1 species